CAAAAACAUCGCCUUUUGUCUAACUAUAAAAGGUCAAGCCUGCCCAGUGACAUUGUUCAACGGCCGCGGUAUUCUAACCGUGCGAAGGUAGCGUAAUCACUUGUUUUUUAAAUGAGGACUAGUAUGAAUGGCUUCACGAAGGCUAUACUGUCUCCCUUAUCUAAUCAGUUAAACUAAUCUUCCCGUGAAGAAGCGGGAAUAAGCCUAUAAGACGAGAAGACCCUAUGGAGCUUUAAACACUUUCAAACAUUUGAUAUUUAACAUUUUUAACUUUCAGUAAAACUUCAUUAAACCCAUCAAUUUGUUCUAAGUUUUAGGUUGGGGUGACCACGGAGAACAACCAAACCUCCACGUAGAAAGAAUCUCUCUCUAAGCAAAAAGCUACAGCUUUACGCAUCAAAAUACUGACCUUAAUUGACCCAAUUCUUUGAUCAACGAACCAAGUUACCCUAGGGAUAACAGCGCAAUCCGCUUUGAGAGCUCUUAUCGACAAGCGGGCUUACGACCUCGAUGUUGGAUCAGGGGAUCCCAGUGGUGCAGCAGCUACUAAUGGUUCG
rnacentral:rRNA from 1 species